rnacentral:rRNA from 1 species
UCCAGACUCCUACGGGAGGCAGCAGUAAGGAAUAUUGGUCAAUGGCCGCAGGGCUGAACCAGCCAAGUCGCGUGAGGGAUGACGGUCCUAUGGAUUGUAAACCUCUUUUGUCAGGGAGCAAAGGGCGCCACGUGUGGCGUUUUGCGAGUACCUGAAGAAAAAGCGUCGGCUAACUCCGUGCCAGCAGCCGCGGUAAUACGGAGGAUGCGAGCGUUAUCCGGAUUUAUUGGGUUUAAAGGGUGCGCAGGCGGAAUGUCAAGUCAGCGGUAAAAUUUCGGGGCUCAACCCCGUCGUGCCGUUGAAACUGGGGAUCUUGAGUGGGCGAGAAGUAUGCGGAAUGCGUGGUGUAGCGGUGAAAUGCAUAGAUAUCACGCAGAACUCCGAUUGCGAAGGCAGCAUACCGGCGCCCGACUGACGCUGAGGCACGAAAGCGUGGGGAUCGAACAGGAUUAGAUACCCCAGUA